CAUUUUCUUAGUUUGGAGUUCCACCAUAUUGUGUUUGAACAACAUAACUUUCCAUAUACGAGUACAGGGGCUAAUUUAUCAGUAAGAAAAUAAACAUGUUUUAUUGUACAGAAAUCAAAUCCAUUUGAGAACAAACUCAAAGCAAACGAUGAACAACAUUUAAUAUAUAUUGCUUCUUAAAAACCCCACUCCCAUCGAUCACACAGUCCUACCAAAAAGAAGAAAACAGAAUUACAACAUGCAGACUUAGAACUGGUAAAGGCAGCUUCCAUCGUCACUCCUUGCAGUUGGAUCAAAGUUGUCUGCACUUGGGUCGGUGCAUCCUUCUGGAACUGGCAAAUUUCCUUGCUGAGCCGCUUUCCCUGCAUGUAUUAUAUUACCAAUGUGUCAUUCAUUUGAGACCUCUUUAGUUUUACAAACGAAUCUCCAACCAUAUAUUAUCAUUUUAAGUUUUACACUUUGAUUGCGGUAAACUAUAUACAGUAUUAUAAAGAGGAUGCAUGGCAAACCUCCCAACAUGGUGAAGGCUGUUCGCUUCCUCUCUAGUACAAUGAAGGAGGAUGAAGGAGGGGAAUGAAUGAAUCUAACCGUAGAAACUUCCACGAUCAAUGGCAUCCUUGUUAGCAUCACCAAGAGCAGCCUCGCUCAUAUACUUGUCGGCCAACUGCACUCUCUUGACGUUGUCUUGCUCUUGCACCAACAUGUUCCCGUACUCCAACAGCUUCUCAACUGUCAUUUUCGGCUGCUCGAAUGUCGGUGGCCCGUCCUUUGAGUUCACCAGCUUCUUCCCUAUUGUGUCCACUCCUACUCCCGAUAUCCACUUCCUCACCUCGUCAUCGUACACCCUCGCCCUCAGCGCCCCAAAGAAAUCUGUUACAAAGGGUAUAGUGUAGUCCAUUCAUGUUAAGAUACGAACUACACAAAGUAAAAUACGGAUUACAAAUAGCAACCCUUAUAUAUGCAUGUCAACAAGUUACAUAUAUAAGAAACAAGGCUUUUACGUACCGAUGGAUUGGCCAGGGAAGGAGUCGACGAUCCUGACGAUGUCAUCGUUGGGGAUGUUGUCGGUCUUGAAGAUGCCAAUGCAGACACCAAUACGGUCAUCCCUAGUGGGAGCCCAGUAGAACUUCUCCAUACGACCAUCACGGAUGAGAGGUGCGUAUAGUGUUGAGAAAUCAUUACCGGUGACGAUGAUUGGGACACGGGCGUUCUCUUCCUUGUUGUACAUACCGGGGAGCUGGACGUUGGUUGGGUUAUCGGCGAUGUUCAUGAGAGUGGCGUUGACCAUCUGGUUGUUGACUGUGUACUGGGUUGUCCCGCCCAUACGACCGGCACCUGCGUCGAGAUCGUUGAUGAAGAGGCAGCACAUUUUCCCCUUCUUGAUAAUGUCCGACGCCUCACGGUACCUUUGCCUUAUCAGUUUG
rnacentral:lncRNA from 1 species